UGGGGAAUAUUGGACAAUGGGCGAAAGCCUGAUCCAGCCAUGCCGCGUGUGUGAAGAAGGUCUUCGGAUUGUAAAGCACUUUAAGUUGGGAGGAAGGGCAGUAAGCGAAUACCUUGCUGUUUUGACGUUACCGACAGAAUAAGCACCGGCUAACUCUGUGCCAGCAGCCGCGGUAAUACAGAGGGUGCAAGCGUUAAUCGGAAUUACUGGGCGUAAAGCGCGCGUAGGUGGUUCGUUAAGUUGAAUGUGAAAGCCCCGGGCUCAACCUGGGAACUGCAUCCAAAACCGGGGAGCUAGAGUAGGGCAGAGGGUGGUGGAAUUUCCUGUGUAGCGGUGAAAUGCGUAGAUAUAGGAAGGAACACCAGUGGCGAAGGCGACCACCUGGGCUCAUACUGACACUGAGGUGCGAAAGCGUGGGGAGCAAACAGG
rnacentral:rRNA from 1 species